rnacentral:rRNA from 1 species
UACGUAGGGUGCAAGCGUUGUCCGGAAUUAUUGGGCGUAAAGAGCUCGUAGGCGGUUUGUCGCGUCUGCUGUGAAAACUCGGGGCUUAACCCCGGGCCUGCAGUGGGUACGGGCAGACUAGAGUGCGGUAGGGGAGACUGGAAUUCCUGGUGUAGCGGUGAAAUGCGCAGAUAUCAGGAGGAACACCGGUGGCGAAGGCGGGUCUCUGGGCCGUAACUGACGCUGAGGAGCGAAAAGCGUGGGGGAGCGAACAGG